AUCACUUCUCGGCCUUUUGGCUAAGAUCAAGUGUAGUAUCUGUUCUUAUCAGUUUAAUAUCUGAUAUAACUUUUUUAAAAUGAAAAAAAAAAUUAAAGUGAUGUUGUUGCAAGCCCCUCCAAUCUUAGUGCAGCUUCCAUUGCUGAAAAUGGUUCUUAGCACUGUCUAGUC
rnacentral:snRNA from 1 species